CGGGACGGGUGAGUAAUGUCUGGGAAACUGCCUGAUGGAGGGGGGUAACUACUGGAAACGGUAGCUAAUACCGCAUAACGUCGCAAGACCAAAGAGGGGGACCUUCGGGCCUCUUGCCAUCGGAUGUGCCCAGAUGGGAUUAGCUAGUAGGUGGGGUAACGGCUCACCUAGGCGACAAUCCCUAGCUGGUCUGAGAGGAUGACCAGCCACACUGGAACUGAGACACGGUCCAG
rnacentral:rRNA from 1 species